rnacentral:lncRNA from 1 species
GAAAAACUGUAUGAAACUGGAUGAAACUGUAUGCUUGGCUGCUAUGGCCUAUAUAAUCAUAUCCACUCAACGGCCUGUAGCCGGAGUACCAAACUGUAUGAGGCGCAGAUCUGCUAUUCUAUGUCGCGACAUAGCCUUAUCUACAUGGUUUCUACCUAACCUCAAUGGAGCAUAUUAAUGGAAUGACAAUAGAUAAAACAAAAGCAUAGUAACUGUGUCAUAAUUUGCAUGCUUGUGUCAUGUUAUUUUCACUUGCUUGUGUCAUAAAAUUAACUGCUUCAUCAUUUCAUAAAAUUUACUGCUUACCUGUAUGCUGAUAGCCUCGCCA